ensembl:lncRNA
CUCAACUACAUUUCUUUAGAACAGUUAAAUUUAACUGUCUCCCCCAGGUCUUAGCUGCCACUUAACUUAGGUCAGAAAUAAAUUUUAGUUUCUUCGUUCUUAUCAUACACCCUGAUGGAAGUAAAUCUACCCAGGAUUUUGUCUUUUAGCAGUAUAAAUGAAAUUGAGACACUAUGUUUGACUUCUUCAUCUAUUUGAUCCUGCAGUGAGGUUGAAAUGCUAGAUUUGAUCAAAAUUUGGUUGAGAAAUAGUUGAGAACAACAAUCUGCUUCAUCUUAUUACAGUCAACCCUGGCUUCAUGACCUCAUCAUAGAAACAAACUAAGGAGUUUCACAAUUCCAGUAAAUUCGACUGAGUUGUUCUACUUCUUUUGGGAUGGCCAAGCAACAUUCUAACAGCUGAGUAUGGUUAUAAGAACAAUUCCAGUUCAACAUAUUUUCUUCAAGGGGGUCAUACUUUGUGACUAAACCUCACUGAUUCAACUGAAGCUUUCUGAGGGAAUUUUUGAGACUUCUGGAUUUCCAAUGUCAAAUGCCUUUCUGAACUGCCCCCAGCAAGAUCCAAGAAUAUUUGAGAGGAGCACAAAUCUACCAUAAGACCUGGAAUACUUUGAUUCAGCAACCCCUGCUGCUUCUGAAUCUUCAGAUUUCAGCAGAGCUGGCAUUUGCCCAGGUGAGAGUCACCCAAGAAUGCUUUGUGCACUGUUUCUUCCAGAAGCCCAUGUGUUAGACUUGGUUUAUACACAAUGAAGUCCAUUCUCCCUCUUUCCCUUAUGCAUGCUGGGCUCUCCUCAGCUGCUGAGAUAGAGAAGAUAAAAAUGAAGUGAAAAGAGUCUAUUAUCAUAAGCAGCAGAAAAAGCAAAGUGAUGGAUGAUGUGUUAUCCAAAUUCUUAAUUCUCUUUGGUUUCACUGGCCACCUGAGGUGAUAUUCCACUAUGAGGAAAUUAUACUAUUUCCUGUGUAACUAUCAAUUAAUCAAUAAACAUUCAC